UUUUCUCAAAAAAAGAUUUUUUACCUUUACAUUUUCAGUGUAAUAUUCUAUAUUAUAAACUAUGAGAAA
rnacentral:tRNA from 1 species